CCUACGGGGGGCAGCAGUGGGGAAUAUUGCACAAUGGGGGAAACCCUGAUGCAGCGACGCCGCGUGAGCGAUGAAGUAUUUCGGUAUGUAAAGCUCUAUCAGCAGGGAAGAAAAUGAAGGUACCUGACUCAGAAGCCCCGGCUAACUAUGUGCCAGCAGCCGCGGGAAUACGUAGGGGGCAAGCGUGAUCCGGAUUGACUGGGUUUAGAGGGAGCGUAGACGGCUUGGCAAGCCAGAUGUGAAAGGCUGGGGCUCAACCCCAGGACUGCAUUUGGAAAUGGCAGGCUAAGGUGACGGAGAGGCAGGCGGAAUUCCUAGGGUAGCGGUGAAAUGCGUAGAUAUUAGGAGGAACACCAGUGGCGAAGGCGGGCUGCUGGACGAUGACUGACGUUGAGGCUCGAAAGCGUGGGGAGCAAACAGGAUUAGAUACCCUAGUAGUC
rnacentral:rRNA from 1 species